GACUGUCAUUUAGACCACAUGACUGUGCUACACAAUGGCCCUACACACUUUAUACAUACAGUGCCUUGCGAAAGUAUUCGGCCCCCUUGAACUUUGCGACCUUUUGCCACAUUUCAAGCUUCAAACAUAAAGAUAUAAAACUGUAUUUUUUUGUCAAGAAUCAACAAGUGGGACACAAUCAUGAAGUGGAACGACAUUUAUUGGAUAUUUCAAACUUUUUUAACAAAUCAAAAACUGAAAAAUUGGGCGUGCAAAAUUAUUCAGCCCCCUUAAGUUAAUACUUUGUAGCGCCACCUUUUGCUGUGAUUACAGCUGUAAGUCGCUUGGGGUAUGUCUCUAUCAGUUUUGCACAUCGAGAGACUGACAUUUUUUUUGCUUCACGGAAACGUGGCUUACUGGAGAGACGCUAUCCGAGGCGGUGCAGCCAACAGGUUUCUCCACGCAUCGCGCAGACAGAAACAAACAUCUUUCUGGUAAGAAGAGGGGCGGGGGCAUAUGCCUUAUGACUAACGUGACAUGGUGUGAUGAAAGAAACAUACAGGAACUCAAAUCCUUCUGUUCACCUGAUUUAGAAUUCCUCACAAUCAAAUGUAGACCGCAUUAUCUACCAAGAGAAUUCUCUUCGAUUAUAAUCACAGCCGUAUAUAUCCCCCCCCAAGCAGACACAUCGUUGGCUCUGAAUGAACUUUAUUUGACUCUUUGCAAACUGGAAACCAUUUAUCCGGAGGCUGCAUUCAUUGUAGCUGGGGAUUUUAACAAGGCUAAUCUGAAAACAAGACUCCCUAAAUUUUAUCAGCAUAUCGAUUGCGCAACCAGGGGUGGAAAGACCUUGGAUCAUUGUUACUCUAACUUCCGCGACGCAUAUAAGGCCCUGCCCCGCCCCCCUUUCGGAAAAGCUGACAACGACUCCAUUUUGUUGAUCCCUGACUACAGACAGAAACUAAAACAAGAGGCUCCCACGCUGAGGUCUGUCCAACGCUGGUCCGACCAAGCUGACUCCACACUCCAAGACUGCUUCCAUCACGUGGACUGGGACAUGUUUCGUAUUGCGUCAGACAACAACAUCGACGAAUACGCUGAUUCGGUGUGCGAGUUCAUUAGAACGUGCGUUGAAGAUGUCGUUCCCAUAGCAACGAUUAAAACAUUCCCUAACCAGAAACCGUGGAUUGAUGGCAGCAUUCGCGUGAAACUGAAAGCGCGAACCACUGCUUUUAAUCAGGGCAAGGUGUCUGGUAACAUGACCGAAUACAAACAGUGCAGCUAUUCCCUCCGCAAGGCUAUCAAACAAGCUAAGCGUCAGUACAGAGACAAAGUAGAAUCUCAAUUCAACGGCUCAGACACAAGAGGCAUGUGGCAGGGUCUACAGUCAAUCACGGACUACAGGAAGAAAUCCAGCCCAGUCACGGACCAGGAUGUCCUGCUCCCAGGCAGACUAAAUAACUUUUUUGCCCGCUUUGAGGACAAUACAGUGCCACUGACACGGCCUGCAACGAAAACUUGCGGUCUCUCCUUCACUGCAGCCGAGGUGAGUAAGACAUUUAAACGUGUUAACCCUCGCAAGGCUGCAGGCCCAGACGGCAUCCCCAGCCGCGCCCUCAGAGCAUGCGCAGACCAGCUGGCCGGUGUGUUUACGGACAUAUUCAAUCAAUCCCUAUACCAGUCUGCUGUUCCCACAUGCUUCAAGAGGGCCACCAUUGUUCCUGUUCCCAAGAAAGCUAAGGUAACUGAGCUAAACGACUACCGCCCCGUAGCACUCACUUCCGUCAUCACCUCCACCCUACCUGACACCCUAGACCCACUCCAAUUUGCUUACCGCCCAAAUAGGUCCACAGACGAUGCAAUCUCAACCACACUGCACACUGCCCUAACCCAUCUGGACAAGAGGAAUACCUAUGUGAGAAUGCUGUUCAUUGACUACAGCUCAGCAUUCAACACCAUAGUACCCUCCAAGCUCGUCAUCAAGCUCGAGACCCUGGGUCUCGACCCGCCCUGUGCAACUGGGUACUGGACUUCCUGACGGGCCGCCCCCAGGUGGUGAGGGUAGGCAACAACAUCUCCUCCCCGCUGAUCCUCAACACUGGGGCCCCACAAGGGUGCGUUCUGAGCCCUCUCCUGUACUCCCUGUUCACCCACGACUGCG
rnacentral:lncRNA from 13 species